rnacentral:misc_RNA from 1 species
UCGAGAACCGACCGAGAGACCGCGAACCCGUAAACGGAUGACACCGUGUCGGGCGGACAGUUUGCUCUGCCCGCCCUGCUCGGGACCCCGCAUCCUGUCCGCGAUCGCCCCCGGGCGCCCCGGACACGCUCUGCGGGGGACGGACGAAACCCCGGCGCGGCAUGCGCCAAGGAACAUACGACAGGACGGACGCGCGUCAACGCCUCGGCGGCGGCGCGGCGCCCGCUCUCUAUCUAUACGACUCUCGGCAACGGAUAUCUCGGCUCUCGCAUCGAUGAAGAACGUAGCGAAAUGCGAUACUUGGUGUGAAUUGCAGAAUCCCGUGAACCAUCGAGUCUUUGAACGCAAGUUGCGCCCGAGGCCUUUCGGUCGAGGGCACGCCUGCCUGGGCGUCACGCCUUGUUUCGCUCCGUUCCCACGCCCCCUCGGGGGCGGGCCACGGAUGCGGAGACUGGCCCUCCGUGCCUCGCGUGCGGCGGGCUUAAGCGCGGGCCGUCGGCGCCGGGAUGGGCACGACGAGUGGUGGACGGAGCACCAGCAGGAUGUCGUGGCCCCCCGUCGCCUUAAGGGGCUCAAGAGACCCGGACCAGGCGAGCCGUGCUCCGUACGAGGAGGGCGUGCCGCCUCGCAAA